rnacentral:rRNA from 1 species
GACGAACGCUGGCGGCGUGCUUAACACAUGCAAGUCGAACGGAAAGGCCCAGCUUGCUGGGUGCUCGAGUGGCGAACGGGUGAGUAACACGUGGGUGAUCUGCCUCUAACUUCGGGAUAAGCUUGGGAAACUGGGUCUAAUACCGGAUAGGACAAUCGUUUAGUGUCGGUUGUGGAAAGUUUUUUCGGUUAGGGAUGAGCCCGCGGCCUAUCAGCUUGUUGGUGGGGUAAUGGCCUACCAAGGCGUCGACGGGUAGCCGGCCUGAGAGGGUGGACGGCCACAUUGGGACAGAGAUACGGCCCAGACUCCUACGGGAGGCAGCAGUGGGGAAUAUUGCACAAUGGGCGCAAGCCUGAUGCAGCGACGCCGCGUGGGGGAUGACGGCCUUCGGGUUGUAAACCUCUUUCGACAGGGACGAAGCUUUGGUGACGGUACCUGUAUAAGAAGCACCGGCUAACUACGUG